UACGUAGGGGGGCAAGCGUUGUCCGGAUUCAUUGGGCGUAAAGAGCGUGUAGGCGGCCAGGUAGGUCCGCUGUGAAAACUCGAGGCUCAACCUCGAGAUGUCGGCGGAAACCAUCUGGCUAGAGUCCGGAAGAGGAGAGUGGAAUUCCCGGUGUAGCGGUGAAAUGCGCAGAUAUCGGGAAGAACACCCGUGGCGAAGGCGGCUCUCUGGGACGGUACUGACGCUGAGACGCGAAAGCGUGGGGAGCGAACAGG
rnacentral:rRNA from 1 species